AUGAGGGUCAGGUCAGCGCUGGAGUUGUGCAAAGAUUGGGGAUCAUAUCAACGAUCGAUAUCAACGCUUCGUGCGCAAACGUCCAGACUCCAGACAAAAUCAUUUAGAAACUCGCUCACAUAUCCCAUCUCAAGACACCCUGCCGAACCCUCUCUGUCAUCAAACACACACCAUCUGCCCCGUCUGUGUAAGUGUGUAAACAAACUACAACACACACUUUCCUUUCAGACAACAAUCAGCAUCAGAGACUCUCAGUUCUAACGUUCUUUUCAGUAAGUCAGAUGUAAAAUGCUGAUGUGCUCAGCACUCUACAGAAGUGCUCACUUGAAUGUUCAAGCACGUUUACUACAGGACCUGAAUGAAAGCAGUUCAUGACUGUAUGCCGGACUGUAUUCUGGACUACAUACUGGACUUUGCUGAACUAGUGGAGAUUGGAGAAGCAGUCAUCGGUGAAAUGAUGGGAACACUGCUAAAACACUGCUAAAAGUUGUGAUUAUACUGCUGUGGUCUCUUAGUAAAGAUUUUAACCACUGAUUCUUCACAGCCUCAUUUUGGAAGUGAUAAUAAACCAAGUUCACUUUCACAGCGUCUUCUCGACAUUCUGUUAUCCACACGAACCAGCUACAGCUUUUGAGGUUUGUUUUCGCGGGAUGUCCUCACAGAACCUAGACGGGCAUUAUGCACAUGUUAGAAUUUGUGACGUGUGAACUUCACAGAAAUGAGAUUUGAAUUUUAAAUGACUCGUUUCAGCGAUUCAGAGUCGACUCUUCCUUUUUUUAGAGACGCACUUUCAGCUUUACAGCUUUGCAGACUGUUUACAUUCACAUACAGCUACAUUACACACUGCAUGAAAGGUAAUUUUUCCAUAAAAAACCCAUAAUCGGGGAACUUUAAAUGGUUUUAAUGCACACCUGUAUAUUUAUGUAUCUGUGUGUCUGUGUAUAUUUACUGUAAGUUUGUCCCCUCAAAUGUUCAAGACAUGGUUACAGCCUUGUUAUAUACUAUACUCUAUAUACUGGACUAUAUACCAGACGUACUGUAUAACGGAAUACUUACCUGAUUGAAAGCUGUUUAUGUGUCAUGAAUCAGUGUGAAUCAGUAUGAUGCUGAUGUGCUUUAAACCUGAGAAAUGCAAAUGAGAGAAGGUAAAACUGGUGCUCUCUCUCUCUCUCUCUGUGUGUGUGUGUGUGUGUGUGUGUGUGUGUGUGUGUGUGUGUGUGUCUGUCUCUCUCGCUCUCUUUCUAAUAACUUCAUUAAUAACUGCAUUAUAAUACUAUCAACGGCUCAAGCCUCCAUUACCAGCUUUAAAAUUACAUUGUGAAACCAGCAAAAGAAGCGUUGGAUGAGAUGCGGAAGAAAUAGUCCUACCCACAAUAGCGAUUAAGUACAAAAACCGAACGAAUCCCUUUAAAUAUAUGAUCUGAUAGAUGUCUUGAGGUGUGGUAACCGUGGUAUAAGCGGAAUAAUUGACUCCGCUUCGAGUCGUGACCGAAUCACCACCUCAGGUGUGCAUUAUUUUUCUAAUAAUUCAACGGCCCGUCGUCAAUUAUUCCUUACUUGAAUCACAGCUUAAAUAGUGUUUUGACAUCGACAACCCAAGUGCAUUUACCUCAAACUUGCAUCUAGUUAACUUUCUAAAGUAGCAAUCGCUUCUCGGGUCGACUUUUUAAUGUGUAAUUGUGUAAUGGUUUCACGAGAUACCAACCUUUCACUUGCUUCCAACACUCGUUCUCAUGGAGACGCGGUGUGCACGGAGGGGAGGGCUGUGCGCGCGCGAGUAACGUUAUGUGAGAGAGACUCGUGAGUGAGAGACGCAGGGAAAUGAAAUGCAUCUGAACGUUUGCUCUAUGAAAGACAUUGACAAAGACGAAAACUAAGGACAUUUAAUCUAUAAUUUUAUUUUAUUUUAGUUAGUUUUGCCAAACACACAUUACAGUUUUGGUUAGUUAUCGUCUUUUUGUAAUGCCUCGUUUUUAUUUUUAUUUCAGUUAACACAAUUUUUUUCCCAACUAGUUUCGUUUUUUCGUUCGUUUUCGUUAACGAUUAUAACCUUACUAUUACUUUUCCGACAACGUUGAGUCGUCUCACCCGACAACCGCGACUUGUAAUGCCUCGUUUUUUAUUUUUUAUUUCAGUUAACACAAUUUUUUUUCCCAACUAGUUUUCGUUUUUUCGUUUCGUUUUCGUUUAACGAUUAUAACCUUACUAUUACUUUUCCGUACAACGUUGAGUCGUCUCACCCGACAACCGCGACAAUCUCCUUUUAGGGCCGCUCAUGCAGGCUCAGCUCAGGUGCCGGUCGCGUGCAGCGCUGCAGCCACGUAAUGAGAGUUUGCCCUUCCCCCUACCGACUUUCACUUUCGGACGGGUGCCCGAAUAUGGAAGUGAAUGAGGCUUUGCGAUUUUUUAUUUUAUUUAUUUAUUUAUUUUUAUCUAGGCCUACGUGAAAUUCUGCAUCCAUUGUACGAUUUUUUUUUAUUUAUUUUUUUUUCCUACCUCGGAAGGGCAACGUGAGUCGAGAAGGGCAUAUGGGCAGUUGCCCGGGCAACCUGAGCAACCCCCCUGUGCACGUCCCUGUAUAUAUAUAUAUAUGAUAUGUUAAUGAGGAAGCGCUAAUAUAAGUAAUAAAUAAGUAAUAUAUUGUUAUAUAUAUAUAUAUAUAUAUAUAUACACAUUAAUAGCUACUGUAACUAUGUAUUGCUCAUUAAACAUUAAGGUGUUUAGUUACCUGUAUAGCGCAAA
rnacentral:lncRNA from 1 species